rnacentral:rRNA from 1 species
UACGUAGGGUGCAAGCGUUGUCCGGAAUUACUGGGCGUAAAGAGCUCGUAGGCGGCUUGUCGCGUCGAAUGUGAAAUCUCAGAGCUCAACUCUGACAUUGCAUUCGAUACGGGCAGGCUAGAGUUCGGUAGGGGAGACUGGAAUUCCUGGUGUAGCGGUGAAAUGCGCAGAUAUCAGGAGGAACACCGAUGGCGAAGGCAGGUCUCUGGGCCGAUACUGACGCUGAGGAGCGAAAGCGUGGGGAGCGAACAGG